AUCCAAGGUGAUUCCCUCUCCGAGGGGCCUGCUUGUGCCCCUCUUCAGGAAAGUAGCAACUUGGAAGACAACGUGGCAUGCCUUAGGUUGCUGGGGGAGAGGGCGUUGUCCGUUCCUGUGCCUGCCUUUGGCUGCCUACACGG
ensembl:snoRNA small nucleolar RNA SNORA67